CCGGCCCCCGGGGCGGAAUGCCGGACCGUAAGGGGGCACGCCCCGCUACGCUGGCGGGGUGCCCCUUCCGCCGGGAAGGCGCAAAGCCGACAGCCGUCGCAACCCGGGAGUACAUACAUG
rnacentral:sRNA from 1 species